GGUGGGCCUAAGCCAUGCGAGUCGAGAGGCCCUCCGGCCCUUUUGGGUCGGAGGGGGCCCUCGGCGCACGGCUGAGUAACACGUGGCCAACCUACCCUCGGGUGGGGGACAACCCCGGGAAACUGGGGCUAAUACCCCAUAGGGGAGGAGGCCUGGAAGGGUCCCUCCCCGAAAGGUCUCGGCCGGCAACGCUCGAGACCGCCCGAGGAUGGGGCUGCGGCCGAUUAGGUAGUUGGCGGGGUAACGGCCCGCCAAGCCGAAGAUCGGUAGGGGCGCUGAGAGGCGUAGCCCCCAGUUGGCCCCUGAGACAAGGGGCCAGGGUCUACGGACCGCAGCAGGCGCGAAACUUCCGCAAUCCGCGAAAGCGGGACGGAGCCACCCGGAGUGCCGGCGGGCUUACUGCUCGCCGGCUUUUGGGGAGUGUAAACAGCUCCCCGAAUAAGGGGUGGGCAAGUCAGGUGGCAGCCGCCGCGGUAAUACCUGCGCCCCGAGUGGCGGGCACUAUUAUUGGGUCUAAAGCGGCCGUAGCCGGGCGGGUAAGCCCCCGGUUAAAUCCAGCCGCUCAACGGCUGGACUGCCGGGGGGUACCGCCCGCCUUGGGACCGGGAGAGGCGGGGGGUACUACCGGGGUAGGGGUGAAAUCCUUUAAUCCCGGUGGGACCGCCAGUGGCGAAGGCGCCCCGCCAGAACGGGUCCGACGGUGAGGGCCGAAGGCCAGGGGAGCGAACCGGAUUAGAUACCCGGGUAGUCCUGGCCGUAAACGCUGCGGACUAGGUGUUGGGACCCCUUCGAGGGGUCCCAGUGCCGAAGUGAAGACGUUAAGUCCGCCACCUGGGGAGUACGCCCGCAAGGGUGAAACUUAAAGGAAUUGACGGGGGAGCACACAAGGGGUGAAGCCUGCGGUUC
rnacentral:rRNA from 1 species